rnacentral:lncRNA from 1 species
CGGGAGGUUGCCAGGCUCGCUGGAAUGCAUCUGAAGUCAUCUUCGGGGGACACGCCUCAGCCGCCGCCCGGGUGAUCCCUGGGCGGGCCGGCGGGAGCGGCUCCCGGGCUGCGGGAGCCGGGCAGAUCCCACCUGCUCAGGGCGGCUGUGGAGCAGCGUGAGGCCAGGGAAAAGGGACCGACAGAGAGCACCUCGGCCCUGGGCGCUGCCCUGCCGGGAGGAGAGCAGAGACAUGUGCGGACCUUGGCAGGGGAGGGUCCCAGCUCUGCCUCUGCUCCUGCCUCGCCGCAGCUGACCUCGGUGCAGUGCCCUGACUCUUGGCACGGCUGCCCUGCUCCGUCAAGUGAUGCUGGGCUGAAGGACAUCCGUACUGCCAUUGUCUCUGCUUCCUUUGGACGGGCCCGUGGGGUUGUGCAACUCUGAGUUUGUGCAGUGUGCACCUGGAUGAUGAGUUGCUGUAGGAUGGCAGAGCAGAAGGAAAGCACAUCAUCUAACCACCCUGAUUCUCCCCUGCUGCUGCUUGGCAUCCACACGUACUGUGAAUUGCAAGAGAAAAGCAAGACCUGGAAGCAAUCUGCUGAGGGUUUCAGAUUCUCUGUUCCUCUCUUCCAGCCCAUUAGGUCAGAAAGAGAAUGGCUAUCAACAAGUGUUUCAUCUGGAAAUGUAGCCCUGGGAUUUCCCUAG